AGUCAACAUGCCCAGAGGACGUGGAUAACCUCGGGAAACUGAGGAUAAACCGCGAUAGGCCAUAAUUACUGGAAUGGGUUAUGGCUUAAACCUAUAUGGUCUCUGGAUUGGACUGCGGCCGAUCAGGCUGUUGGUGAGGUAAUGGCCCACCAAACCUGUUACCGGUACGGGCUCUGAGAGGAGGAGCCCGGAGAUGGGCACUGAGACAAGGGCCCAGGCCCUAUGGGGCGCAGCAGGCGCGAAACCUCUGCAAUAGGCGAAAGCCUGACAGGGUUACUCUGAGUGAUUCCCGCUAAGGGGAUCUUUUGGCACCUCUAAAAAUGGUGCAGAAUAAGGGGUGGGCAAGUCUGGUGUCAGCCGCCGCGGUAAUACCAGCACCCCGAGUGGUCGGGACGAUUAUUGGGCCUAAAGCAUCCGUAGCCGGUCAUGCAAGUCCUCCGUUAAAUCCACCUGCUUAACAGAUGGGCUGCGGAGGAUACUACAAGGCUAGGAGGCGGAAGAGGCAAGCGGUACUCAGUGGGUAGGGGUAAAAUCCUCUGAUCCAUUGAAGACCACCAGUGGCGAAGGCGGCUUGCCAAUACGCGCUCGACGGUGAGGGAUGAAAGCUGGGGGAGCAAACCGGAUUAGAUACCCGGGUAGUCCCAGCUGUAAACGAUGCAGACUCGGUGAUGGGCCGGCUUUAUGCCAGCUCAGUGCCGCAGGGAAGCCGUUAAGUCUGCCGCCUGGGGAGUACGGUCGCAAGACUGAAACUUAA
rnacentral:rRNA from 1 species